rnacentral:rRNA from 1 species
UUAGAGUUUUAUCCUGGCUCAGAUUGAACGCUGGCGGCAGGCCUAACACAUGCAAGUCGAGCGGAAACGAGUUAUCUGAACCUUCGGGGAACGAUAACGGCGUCGAGCGGCGGACGGGUGAGUAAUGCCUAGGAAAUUGCCUUGAUGUGGGGGAUAACCAUUGGAAACGAUGGCUAAUACCGCAUAAUGCCUACGGGCCAAAGAGGGGGACCUUCGGGCCUCUCGCGUCAAGAUAUGCCUAGGUGGGAUUAGCUAGUUGGUGAGGUAAUGGCUCACCAAGGCGACGAUCCCUAGCUGGUCUGAGAGGAUGAUCAGCCACACUGGAACUGAGACACGGUCCAGACUCCUACGGGAGGCAGCAGUGGGGAAUAUUGCACAAUGGGCGCAAGCCUGAUGCAGCCAUGCCGCGUGUAUGAAGAAGGCCUUCGGGUUGUAAAGUACUUUCAGCAGUGAGGAAGGGGGUGUCGUUAAUAGCGGCAUCUCUGACGU